rfam:Triticum aestivum genome assembly, contig: Triticum_aestivum_CS42_TGACv1_scaffold_292172_4AL
CGGAUACUCCCUUCGUCCGGAAAUACUUAUCCUAGAAAUGAAUAAAAUGAAUGUAUCUAUAACUAAAAUAAGUCUAUAUAUAAUCAUUUUCAGGACAAGUAUUUCCGGACGAAGGAAGUACGUC